GGGUGUGGAAUCCUCUCCCUAACGGUCGGUGAAAAGAAUAUAGUGGUAGCUGCUAAGCUUGAGAAUCAUGGGCGCAUGGGACUGAUCAUUGCCUUCAAUUUCCCAAGUAUGCAGAGCUUAUGGAAGCGAGGUAAGUUCCUCUCCUCCCAAACUUUCUCUCCUUUUCAAAAUCUUCAAUUCUUUUCAAUCUCUCCCUCCGCCGCAUACAAAUCUCUCCGCCACUCUCCGCCGCCGCUCUUAAUCUCUCAGCUCAUCAAAUACGCCACAUCCCACAAAGCAACCCAACAAAUUCGCUCUUUCAUCAUCACCUCCGGCUUACUUUUCAACGCCACCGCCAAUUUCAUCCUUCUCUGCAACACAUUGCUCCAUUGCUACCCUCUCUACCAGCCCCUUCGCCGCAUUCCUCACACUCCCCCCUCCUACGAUACUUUUGCCUAUUCCUUCCUCCUCCAUUCUUGCGCCGAUUUGGAGCUCACUGGACCUGGUCUUCAACUCCACGCUCUCACUCUCAAGGUUGGCUUUCCUUCCCAUGUUUAUGUUCAAACUGCAAUUGUACGUAUGUAUGCCGCUUGUGGGUUUUUGCUUGAUGCUCUCAAGGUGUUCGAUGAAAUGCCUGACCGAAACUCUGUCACUUGGAAUGUCUUGAUUACUGGUUUGGUUAAGUUGGGUGAGCUUGGACGGGCUCGUGCGGUGUUUGAUCAAAUGCCUAUGCGUAAUGUUGUGUCUUGGACUGCCAUAAUCGAUGGCUAUACUCGUCUAAACAGGCAUGAGGAAGCUGCGGAUUUGUUCUGGAAAAUGGUGGCUCAUUAUGGUAUGGAGCCUACUGAAAUAACACUUCUAACGAUUUUCCCUUCCAUUUCGAAUCUUGGGGCUCUUAAGAUUUGUCACUCAGUCCAUGCUUAUGCAGAGAAGAAAGGGUUUAAGGUGUCUGAUGUACGCAUUGCUAAUUCAUUGAUUGAUUGUUAUUCAAAAUGUGGUUGUAUUAAUAGUGCAUCAAUGGUGUUUGAAGAAAUGUCAGCUGAAAGGAAGAAUCUGGUGACAUGGACGUCGAUAAUCACCGGAUUCACCAUGCAUGGAAUGGGAAAAGAAGCUGUGGAGAGCUUCGAAAGGAUGAAGAACGAAGGCCACGAGCCGAACCGGGUCACGUUCUUGAGCAUUCUAAGUGCUUGCAGCCAUGGAGGGCUAGUUGAGGAAGGUCUAGAGUUUUUCAAGAAGAUGGUUGAGGAGUAUCAGAUAAAGCCGGAUAUAAUGCACUAUGGGAGUUUAAUAGACAUGUUGGGAAGGGCAGGGAGGGUAGAAGAAGCUGAAAGAAUAGCUUUGGAGAUACCUAUGGAGAUAGCCAAUGUUGUUAUUUGGAGGACACUUUUGGGUGCCUGUAGUUUUCACAGUAACGUGUCGAUUGCGGAGCGGGUAACACGGAGGAUAUUAGACAUGGAGGGCGCGUAUGGAGGUGAUUAUGUGCUCAUGUCUAACAUUUUUGCUGCAGCUGGGAAAUAUGGUGAUGCUGAGAAAUGGAGAAGAUUGAUGGAUUCUAGCAAAUCCUCUAAAAUUCCAGGACAGAGCCUUCUCUAAAGCUAGCUUUGACAAGGAAUUCUUAUAUGAAUGAGGCUGUAAAAUAUAGGAAUGCAUCCUGGGAACUGUGAAUUUUUAUGGAUCUGCUACAACGAUGGAACGGACUUCUUGGACUCGAGAAAUUAUGGGGUUAAAUUACAAGUUUAGUCUUGAGAUCUCACAUUUGUUGGAGAAGGAACCCUAAAGAAUGCCCGAGCUCAGGAGUGUUGUGUGUGACACAUCAAUGAGGAGAUUUAUACAUAUCAAGAAGCAAGACAAAUCUCAUUUGUCAAGGACUUGAGGUGGCUGUAGGCUCAGAUGAACAGAAGGUGUACCAGGUUGGUACCAUCUAAAGAGCCCUUCACACGAGAGGACUAAUGUCAAUUGUGGCAAGCAAAGAAAUUGGGAGUCAGUUGAGACAUAUGCCGGCCAAGUGCCACAUUGAGCACAACUCAUGUCCAUAGGGGUCGGCGAUGAAGCUGCAAAUGAGGCAACUGAGUUAAGUUGUGUUCAAUCUUUGAUAAAUUUAUUUUUGGAUUUUAAAAAACCAUUAUGAUGAUUACAUCAUAAGAUUAAAGACCGUAGCGGGUAGCACUUU